CCUACGGGAGGCAGCAGUGAGGAAUAUUGGUCAAUGGACGAGAGUCUGAACCAGCCAAGUAGCGUGAAGGAUGACUGCCCUAUGGGUUGUAAACUUCUUUUAUCUGAGAAUAAAAUGUUCCACGUGUGGGAUUUUGUAUGUACCAUAUGAAUAAGGAUCGGCUAACUCCGUGCCAGCAGCCGCGGUAAUACGGAGGAUCCGAGCGUUAUCCGGAUUUAUUGGGUUUAAAGGGAGCGUAGGUGGAUUGUUAAGUCAGUUGUUAAAGUUUGCGGCUCAACCGUAAAAUUGCAGUUGAAACUGGCAGUCUUGAGUACAGGAGAGGUGGGCGGAAUGCGUGGUGUAGCGGUGAAAUGCUUAGAUAUCGCGAAGAACUCCGAUUGCGAAGGCAGUUCACUGGACUGCAACUGACACUGAGGCUCGAAAGUGUGGGUAUCGAACAGGAUUAGAUACCCGGGUAGUC
rnacentral:rRNA from 1 species